UAAUAAGUCAAUGGUGAUUGCUAGCAUGGUAUACUAAUUUUUUUUCCUCUUUAAUAAUUUUAUGCUUCAGGAAUUGCUACCUAGGAGAUCUGUCAUUGGAUGUCACAGGAUAAUUGUAGGAGAAGGGAAUCUGGAUAAACAGGUGAAGGGUUGUGAAUUUCAUACAUCUCUCUCCUGAACAUAUUCAGCGUACAAGGAAAUUGAUCUAUAGUGCUAACGAGGGUUCUUGAUUUGAAUUAUACACAAUCAGAGUGAAAGCAGUUACAAGGAUUUUGUGUAAGGUUUGAGAUUUGAAUUUCCUUUUUGUCUUUUGUUACUUCUUUUAAAUUAGCGAUAAACUUAGGUUCCUUCUUGGCAUUUGAGUGAGGUGUAAAAUCAGAUUGCGGAAUAUAUACUCAGGAAGAUUGGUUCCCAUAGAAGUGUUGUGCAUCUCCGGCGCGGCAUGCCAGUGGUAGUACACUUUAAAAAAAAAAAAAAUAGGGUAUUAAAUUUUUUCUAUUUUUUUCUUUUUGAGUAAUGCCUGAAGAAGGUGCUGGUUGGUGUUCGUAUAUUUUUCUUUCUCUUUAUUUGGGAUUUGUCUGUCUACCAGAGAUUGUAUGCAAGCUUCUGUUUGAUCUACUUGUGUGAAACAUUAAGGGAUUCUCUUUCAUGUUCCCCUGCAAAUAAGUUACAAAUAUUCCGAUUCAUUUUUUAUUCGACGGUGUAUCAGAACAAUUUAGAUGAAUAUUAGACUUCAUUUGUGGUUGCUGCAGUUGAUCAGCUGCUAUUAAUAUCUGGAUUUUAUCACAGUAUGUUUAUGAACCAUGUCUGCAUUCUAAUGUACUUUAUAAUGAUGAUGAAGUUAGCUGUGGUAAGGUUGAGAAUCCCAACUGGCUAGAAUAUUGGGAUUUUUUUUUUUUUUUUUUUGCAUGCCUACAACUAUGCAUUUAAAGCCUUUUUGGUAGUAUCUAUCAUGGGUUUCCAUCUGCUAAUAGCUAUUCAAUUUCUGAUCUUUGAGAGCUAUUCUGUGUGGUCAUUCCAUCUCUUAUCCAAACCUCUAAUUGGAUAUGUUUUGCUUCAACUUGAAAUCAUUUUCUCCUGAAUUUUUCAUUUUUAUAAUUACCUCAAAACACAUAUUAUAUGCGGUCCUCCUCCUCUCUCUCUCUCUCUUUCUGUCUCUCUCUGACACAGAAUUUGUGAAUUUGAAACCUGUACUGAUGAUUUUCAGGACAUAAUUUUUCUUUGUUACUUCUACUUUUUCCUUGUUAUUUUUCUUCCAUAAUUUUGCCCUUUUUUUUCUUUGAAAUCUACUAGGACUCAAAUGUAAAACCUUAUAAUAGAUCUUAAACAAUUUCAAUAUUAUUGAGCUAAAUUUGUUUGAAAAUCUGAAAAAAAAAAGAAGGAAUUUAAACAAUGUUAAAUAGUUCAGUUCAAUUGGAUAUACAUCUAGUCAAAUCAAGGUUCAGCAUCAUUUUCUAGGAUUUAACUUGACAUGAUAAACUCCAAUUGAGGGAUUAGAAUGUAAUUGUCUGUUAUAGCAUCCACCAUAACCCAAACUUUUUGCAGAAAUGGACUAUUUAGGGGUUUCAAUUGUGGCUAAGGCCUAGAGGGACCAAGUCAGGGUCCAUUGAUGUGGACUUGGGUCCAUGAAUCUUUGGGUGCAGGAACCAUAGCUGAGGUCAUUGAUUUGAUUUUGCCUUUUGAAAGUUGUAUGUAUUUUGAUUCUUAGGAACAAUUAAUGCCCAAAUCUCAUCAUCUAAAAAUCCCUUUUUCCCCCAUUUCAAAAAAAAAACCCUUUUCCCCCUCUUUUUUACAGGAACAUCUAAAACUACAUUAGCAAACCCACCAUUGCCUUUUCUACUUUAUGUACUGUAGUAUUCUUUUAGGGGACCAAGAUGGCAAGAAACACAUUUUGGACGGUCCUGAUCAUCGCUGGGUGGGGACAGGUGGGUCCAUCACACCCUUGACAGUUGACCAUUACCAUUGAGGGCCCCAUUAUGAGCUGCUGCCAGCAAAUCCAGAAGGAUGACUGACAGGUGCCAUGUCUCAUGGGGUGUUUGGUUGGAAGAAUAUCUUAGAUUUGGUGCACAUUUUUUUCGUUCUACUACUACUUCUCUCUCAAACUUAAUAUUAUAUUCAUUAAAAGGGCCACCAGGCCUACAAACAAAGAAAUAAGCCCUUGGCCAAACAAUACACCAGCCCAUGGAUCUAUANNNNNNNNNNNNNNNNNNNNNNNNNNNNNNNNNNNNNNNNNNNNNNNNNNNNNNNNNNNNNNNNNNNNNNNNNNNNNNNNNNNNNNNNNNNNNNNNNNNNNAAAAGGCCACCAGGCCUACAAACAAAGAAAUAGGCCCUCGGCCAAACAAUACACCAGCCCAUGGAUCUAUAGCCUUAAAAAAAAAACAAUUCGAGAUAUCCAAACUCUAGACCCAAAAAAGCUACUCGACCCGACACUCAGACUCGAGACCACUCCAAAAAAACGCAUUGCACCAACACCUCUGAUUCCUCCGGCUGCCAUUGUUGGUUGGACCAUGGUUAGAAAAGGGUUAACUCUAUUAAUCGUAGCCAAGGCUAUGAUAAACAAAAAGGAGAAAACUGGCAUCGCCAAACAACCCAUAGUCAAGCCUCUAGAUUCAAAGGAAAGCAGACACUCACUACAAGAAACACAUACACUGCUAGAUUAGGUGUUAGCAACGGACACCAAAUGCCAAGGAGGAAGUUGAACCUAGACCUUUUGCUUCUUUCAUUGUUUACCUUCACCUACUCUCUCAGUUUUGAGUGAAUUACUAUAAUUAAAUUUUCUUUACAAUAAAUUUCACUGUGAUAUUAAUUCAAAAUACACAAUUUAAUUAAGUCCAUAUAAUUCAUAUUUAGUAUAGUUUCUAAUUUUAGUUUAUUUACUUUUAUUUCCUUAAUUAUCAUGAAGAGUAAAAUUAAAAAGUUAUAAUUUUCCAUUCUAUAAAAAAUAGUAUACGUAAUAAAUAAAUUUUUAACAAUUAAUAAGUAUCAUAUGUUAAUAAAUAUAAAAUAAACCAAUAUAGGAGACAUACAAUAACUUAACUUGUGUCAUUAUUAAGUUCAUGACAAGUUUAAAUAUUUCUAAGUAAUAGAAAAAUAAAAUAUUUUAAAUUGUUGUUUGCAUGAGAUAUAAAAAUAAUUCAAUAUGGUAUUUUAAUUUAAAAAAAUAUUAUUAUAUAAAUUUAAUAAAAUUCAAAAUUAAUAUUUAAUUCUCACUAGCUAAAUUUCAAUUCCGUUUGAAUCCAGACAUCUUCAUAUAGAAUAACGAAUAUGAAGCUACCCAAAAAGCCAAAAAAAGAAAAAAAAGCCAUCUCAAAAUAAGCAUCAAUGGCGUCUCUCCAUCAGGAUAGAACUUGGAGGGCAGUUGGGAUACUACAUUGAUGUUCUUGCCUGCUCCACCAAGAAUUUGAUGGAUAACCCAUUCAUCAGCGCUCGUAAUUCCUGCAAUCCAAUUAUCCAAACUCAGCGUCAGGGUGUUGCUGAAUGUAACUUAUGCAGGUUGAUAACAAAAGGCAGUGAAAAGUUUGGCUCCACAUAUGGAUAAAAACAAAAAUCAUGGCAUUUGCUGUCAAGAUAGGAGCUCGUCUAGCAUCCGGAAUGGGAGAAAUAGUACUAGAUUUUAGCAGAGAAGUUGCUAAUCUGAUUGGCUCUUCCCUUGUGUAUGGGCCUGCAGGAGCAGUUGCCGCUGGAGAUGCGGGGGGCUGCAGCUAUGGGAAUGGAACAAGUGAACAGAAUCCAGAGCAGAAGCAAGAAUGUAAAAAGCUCGAGGGACAUCAAGAAGAUGCAAAGAGCAAACAAAUUGCAGAGAAGUUCAGAUUGAGAAGAGUGAGGUACGAGGAUGAUGAACAAAUUGCAUGGCUCGAAGGAGCAAACAAAACAAUUUAAGUACCCAUCGAAACUGUGAAUGUGCCAGGAGCAUGAAAAAGUUUAAAUUUUUUAGCACUUCUCGUUGUUAUUUAUGCCUUUUCUUUUAUGGGAAUUCUUGUAAUGCUCCUAAAACUUCUUGUAAUUGGUUCAACUUAAGGAAGCAAAAGCUUCGUUUAUCAGAAUCUCACAAAAGCGAAUCGUGGAUUCUCCAGCCUUGUCUAUCUUGUGCCUUAAAUAGCCAUGUGAAUGUGAGUCCUUCUAAUGUAUUCAUCAUUCUUAUGUAAAAAGAAAGAAUUUUGAUCUCGUAAUCACUGAAAGUUGAUGAAACAAGCAAGAACAGAGUGAAGCGAGUAAAAAUUGAAAAGGAAAUUUCCAUGUACACUAACAGCAGUUGUUAUAAAACGAAGUUGAUGAUAACACAUGGAAUUCAUGAUUUCCCGUCCUAACUCAUCUAAACAUCUGAAAAUACAAAAGGAAAACACCACACUACAUGAUUCAUUAUUAGAUUUCACUAUUAGUAUUAGUCUCCGUGCUACAAACUAAAGUCACCUGUGUGUUCUCC
rnacentral:lncRNA from 1 species